AUUUUCCUACGGGACGCAGCAGUGAGGAAUAUUGGUCAAUGGGCGAGAGCCUGAACCAGCCAAGUCGCGUGAAGGAUGACGGCCCUAUGGGUUGUAAACUUCUUUUGUCAGGGAGCAAUUGGGUCCACGCGUGGGCUUAGCGAGAGUACCUGAAGAAAAAGCAUCGGCUAACUCCGUGCCAGCAGCCGCGGUAAUACGGAGGAUGCGAGCGUUAUCCGGAUUUAUUGGGUUUAACGGGUGCGUUGGCGGAAUAUCAAGUCAGCGGUACAAAUUCGGGGCUCAACCCCGUCGUGCCGUU
rnacentral:rRNA from 1 species